rnacentral:rRNA from 1 species
UACGAGGGGAGCAAGCGUUGUUCGGAUUUACUGGGCGUAAAGGGCGCGUAGGCGGCGUGACAAGUCACUUGUGAAAUCUCCGGGCUUAACCCGGAAAGGUCAAGUGAAACUGUCGUGCUAGAGUACAGAAGGGGCAACUGGAAUUCUUGGUGUAGCGGUGAAAUGCGUAGAUAUCAAGAGGAACACCUGAGGUGAAGACGGGUUGCUGGGCUGACACUGACGCUGAGGCGUGAAAGCCAGGGGAGCAAACGGG